rnacentral:rRNA from 1 species
UACGUAGGGGGCUAGCGUUGUCCGGAUUUAUUGGGCGUAAAGAGCGUGUAGGCGGCCAUGUAGGUCCGGUGUGAAAACUCGAGGCUUAACCUCGAGAUGUCAUCGGAAACCAUUUGGCUAGAGUCCGGAAGAGGAGAGUGGAAUUCCUGGUGUAGCGGUGAAAUGCGCAGAUAUCAGGAAGAACACCAAUGGCGAAAGCAGGUCACUGGGCAGUUACUGACACUGAGGCACGAAGGCCAGGGGAGCAAACGGG